rnacentral:rRNA from 1 species
UCAAGUGACUAAGUGCAUGUGGCGGAUGCCUUGGCGAUCACAGGCGAAGAAAGACGCGGCAGCCUGCGAAAAGCUGCGGGGAGCUGGCAAACGAGCUUUGAUCCGCAGAUAUCUGAAUGGGGGAACCCACACCGCAAGGUGUAUCCGUGACUGAAUACAUAGGUUACGGAGGCGAACGAGGAGAACUGAAACAUCUAAGUAUCCUCAGGAAAAGAAAUCAACCGAGAUUCCGGCAGUAGCGGCGAGCGAACCCGGAGGAGCCUAGCUUUUGAUAGUACGAACUUUAGCCGAAAGGUCCUGGAAAGGCCUGCUAUAGUGGGUGAUAGCCCCGUAGGCGAAAGAGUUCGUAUGGUACUAAGGAAGCGAGAAGUAGAGCGGGACACGUGGAAUCCUGUUCGAAGAUGGGGGGACCAUCCUCCAAGGCUAAAUACUCGUGAUCGACCGAUAGUGAACCAGUACCGUGAGGGAAAGGCGAAAAGAACCCCGGGAGGGGAGUGAAAUAGAACCUGAAACCGCAUGCAUACAAACAGUAGGAGCCUCACCAGAGGUGACUGCGUACCUUUUGCAUAAUGGGUCAGCGACUUACAUUCUGUGGCGAGCUUAACCGAAUAGGGGAGGCGCAGCGAAAGCGAGUUCGAAAUGAGCGUCCAGUCGCAGGGUGUAGACCCGAAACCAGAUGAGCUAUCCAUGGCCAGGUUGAAGGUGUGGUAACACACACUGGAGGACCGAACCGACUAGUGUUGCAAAAUUAGCGGAUGAGCUGUGGAUAGGGGUGAAAGGCCAAACAAAUCUGGAGAUAGCUGGUUCUCCCCGAAAACUAUUGAGGUAGUGCCUCGUGUGUCGCUCCAGGGGGUAGAGCACUGUUUUGGCUAGGGGGACAUGGAGUCUUACCAAACCAAGGCAAACUCCGAAUACCUGGAAGCGUAAGCACGGGAGACAGAGCACCGGGUGCUAACGUCCGGACUCAAAAGGGAAACAACCCAGACCGCCGGCUAAGGUCCCCAAUAACAGCUAAGUGGAAAACGAAGUGGAAAGGCCGUGACAACCAGGAAGUUGGCUUAGAAGCAGCCAUCCUUCAAAGAAAGCGUAAUAGCUCACUGGUCGAGUCCUUCUGCGCGGAAGAUGUAACGGGGCUAAGCUGUUAACCGAAGCCGCGGAUGCACUGAUUAUUCAGUGCGUGGUAGGGGAGCGUUCUGUAAGUCUGCGAAGGCGGUUCGAGAGGACUGCUGGAGAUAUCAGAAGUGCGAAUGCUGACAUGAGUAACGUUAAAGCAGGUGAAAAGCCUGCUCGCCGUAAGCCCAAGGAUUCCUGCUCUACGUUCAUCGGAGCAGGGUGAGUCGGCUCCUAAGGUCAGGCCGAAAGGCGUAGCCGAUGGGAAUCAGGUUAAUAUUCCUGAACCUGCGUCAGAUGCGAUGGGGGGACGGAGCAUGAAAGAUCAUCCGGGUGUUGGAUGUCCCGGUUGACGAGCGUAGGAGGUCUGCAGGCAAAUCCGCAGACGCAUCUCCAAGGCGAAGUCACGUGCCGCCACGGCGGCGAAGUGAUCGGAAGUGCUUCCAAGAAAAGCCUCUAAGCACCAGUCUGACGCGGACCGUACCGCAAACCGACACUGGUGGGCGAGCUGAAUAUGCUCAGGCGCUUGAGAGAACUCGGGAGAAGGAACUCGGCAAAUUGACACCGUAACUUCGGAAGAAGGUGUGCCGUAGUAGCGUGAGAGGAGAGACACCUUGAGCGUGAAUCGGUCUCAGAGAAUAGGUGGCUGCGACUGUUUAUUAAAAACACAGCACUCUGCAAAGUCGAAAGACGACGUAUAGGGUGUGAUGCCUGCCCGGUGCUGGAAGAUUAAUUGAUGGGGUGAGAGCCCUUGAUCGAAGUCCCAGUAAACGGCGGCCGUAACUAUAACGGUCCUAAGGUAGCGAAAUUCCUUGUCGGGU